UUAGUGCAAUGACUCCAUCAUCAUUGAUGGAAUCGAGACUGAUCCAUAGUGUCUCUAAUGAAGUAUUGUUUGUUAUUUUGUGAGACAGUGAGAGGAUGACAUCUUUUGUUAUUUUAGUGUAAUAUAUAUCAAUCUCCUUUAUUGUUCUUAUGUCUAGUACUUGAGACAUCAUCAAGUAUACAAUAUCAGGUGAUGAGUCAUGGAGGUGAAUGUUCUGAUAACUGUCCGUUAAUUGACUGAUCACUUCCUGACAUUGACCUGCUGAUGGUUUAGUAAGGGAUACUCCAUUACUGCCCCACUCCACCUCUCCAGUCUCUUCUCCUAGUAAUAAACACAGUGAUGCUGGUUUUUGUACCAGUAAGUCAUUACAGCUGCUAGGAUGGAAUGGGUGUGGUCUAUCUUUUAUCAUGUGACAGGAAACAAAAAUCAAUUGGUGAAGGUCACUGUAGUACUUAUAAACUGAUUCAACCACAUGCUGUUAAGUGUGGGCCUAAUUGAGCUGGUUUCUGAACCGUUGAACUGGCUUGUAU
rnacentral:lncRNA from 1 species